GUCCACAAAGACGUGUACGAUGCUGACACAAGAAGGCCAGGGAUGAAAUAGAGGAAGGGUACGGGGAUGUUAGAGGGGGGUUCUGAGUUUACAGUCUCAAUUACCGUCGCGGGGUUUACGCCGUCAUCGUUUCGUUGCCAUAACACAAUAUUUUGACAAGUAUACGUGACGACGGUGUCUGUCUACCGAAUCGCUCUAUAACUGUUCCUAACUUUGUUUGUUCCCUCAUUGAAACGUGGUUCCUUCUUCUUGGAAAGACGUAAUGAGAGAUACAUCGAUGUUCACACGUCAGAGUGAACAAAGGAGAACUCAGCUGAUAAUCGUCAAAGUCGAUCAAAGAGACGUUUCACACCUGAGUAUCAAAUCCUACGAUGUAAUCGGGACAAGAAUGAACAGCCAUUUCACCUGAUGGCGUGGAAGGCCAGCAAGUUAUUGCAUCCCAGAUCUCAGGACACCAUCCUAAACGCAAACAGAAAGUUUUUAGAAUGGACGACCGACGAUCACACAUUUCCAAUUAAUGUUUAUUAACUGGAAGUAAAUAAAGACGACUGCGUAGGAAUUGGUCUUGGAUAAUCCCAUGGAUUUGGUGCAUAUGGUGGCCGUUGUGGUAUGGGAUAGACCGUUAUUGCUCCAGCUGCUACUGGUUUAGACGUUGCCACGGAGUUCACCGUAGAG